rnacentral:sRNA from 1 species
UUCGUAUGGCCACUGUCAUUCUGCUACUGUCAUGUCACUGACAGACUCGAUAUGGACGAUCGUGUUUUAGAGAGUGUACGCAGAUGAAUUCAGGUUGGAGAUUAUUAUUCCAGCUUUUCUCAAGUUCUUCAAAUGACAUGUGAUAAAUGUGGUGUUCCGUGAGUGGAUAUAUCAUUUUCUUUUCGUUGCGUGGAUAUUGGAGAUCAUCCAUCACAUCCAGCGGCGUGCGCUGGUAAACAAACAUGUCAUUGGGUUAAUGUCAUGCUGCUGGUGUCAUUUGUAGAUGUCAUGUCGGGUGCUCGAUAGCUGUGUUGAUGUGAAGAGGACAGUGUGAUAAGCCUGUCAUCUGAGAUGAAGGGCCGGCCUUAGGCAUAGACAAACUAGGCAGCCGCAUAGGGCCUCUGAUUGGCGGGGACCUCGCAUAGGACUAAAAAAGCAUUUAGAGGAUAACAAAAGUGAACAUCGGAUCAAAAUUUAAGCUGAUUACAGUGGAGGCUAGAAACGGCUUCAGGACUCUGCAUGUCUGGAUCUCUUGUGAGAGCUUCGAGACGAAGUGACCAUUUCCCCUAUCUCACGCCCCCACGUUAAGAAACGCCUCUGCGAUUCACCUAAACAUAUCCACACAAAAAAAUGACUUCUAUUUGUUUUUUCUACCUUAUCCAACUUCAUAUCUUUAUGGAUAUAAUCCUUAUGGAUACACGACGCAGUCGCCACAAUGCCACGAAUGGGGCGGUUCGAGAUUAAGGGACAUAAUCUCUCAGCAGACGAGAAGAGAAAAAUAUCGGAUUAAAAAAGUAGUCAAAACUGAGCACAGUCAAAGAGAAUCAUGAUACCCUCUUGGGGUCACAACAAACACUGGAAGCAAACGAUUUCAUUGUAUCGGUUAUAACAAAAGAAAACAUUGACUCCUCGUGAGAUCGAUACCUUUGCUAUCUGGAAACAUACAGAAUUAACUGUGUUUUUUUCAGUUUAUACUAGAUUUAGUUUGUAAUAAGUAUUCUCUAUUGACAUACGUAUAUUGCGAUAGUGAGUAUGUUCUAUCAGCAUAUAAAUUGUAUGUACAUAUUGAAAAGAGAAAAGCACAUUUUUUUUUUUUUAUUUUAAAGCGUUGAUUGUUUAUUCCCUUGUUAAAUAAGCGGUUGCCCUUUUUAUAACCAUAGGAAAUCAAUUAAACUGGAGCAUUAUUGGAGACAAUGCCACUCUGAUAAAAAGAUAAAAGUGAGACAAAAAAUGUCAGAAUAGAUCCACAAAAUCUUUCUUCAACAUCAUAUAGAAAAGAUGGUGGUUUUGUGAGCGUCUGACAAGAUCUCUAUACCU